GAUGAAGAACGUAGCAAAAUGCGAUAAGUAAUGUGAAUUGCAGAAUUCAGAGAAUCAUCGAAUCUUUGAACGCACAUUGCGCCCGCCAGUAUUCUGGCGGGCAUGCCUGUUCGAGCGUCAUUUCAACCCUCAAGCACAGCUUGGUGUUGGGACUCGCGUUAAUUCGCGUUCCCCAAAUUGAUUGGCGGUCACGUCGAGCUUCCAUAGCGUAGUAGUAAAACCCUCGUUACUGGUAAUCGUCGCGGCCACGCCGUUAAACCCCAACUUCUGAAUGUUGACCUCGGAUCAGGUAGGAAUACCCGCUGAACUUAAGCAUAUCAAUAAGCGGAGGA
rnacentral:misc_RNA from 1 species